GUAGUUCUUCGCCCAUGCGGUCGAGGCGGUCCCAGCAACAGGACCAACCACGCACACUCGCAUCUCGCUCCUUGAUGUUACCAGGGAAGUAUAAAGGUUGUUUGAGUUAUAAAUAGCAAACCAAGAUUAGAGAUGGCCAGGAGGUGGAGCCAUGAAUGAUCUAUCCUAGGUACACCUCCAGCUUCCCAUACCAUCUCCUCGGCCUCUUCCCUCCCCCCUUGGCCUUCUCCUUCUGAUGAAUCAUUUUUCCUAUGUUUGUCGCUGCUUGCUAAUCGUUGCUCCAACCGUUGAGUUUGUGCAGUGGAUUUCCUUUCCUAGCAUCACCACAUGUAAAACAGGGGAGAUUUAAGAUCCAACACAUCAACGAAGUGGCGCCCUUGCUGACACAAGAAUACGUCCAGGUCUCGUAGAACACCUAACGCUGGAUUGUGCAGUGAUCUAGGGAUUGCGUAUUAGGAUAUUGAGGAUGGGAUUUUCACAAAUUGCUAUAGUCCAAUUAUUUUCUUCCCUUCUACCCUGAUACA